GCUACGAUAGUUUAUAAAAUACUGGGUUGUGGUCUCAGAGAUGCACUCAUAUGCUCGUAACA
rnacentral:tRNA from 1 species